AGAACAUUUUACUGCUUUGCAUGGUCUUGUUAUCUCUUAGGGGCAGGAGAGAGAAAAUAUUGUUCUUUGCAUUUAUUGGUUGAAAGUUUAUUCCAGGGGAGUUUAUUCAAGCUUUGUUUUCCUCAAAGCUUUAUUUUCUUGCAAUCAUAAUGUUAGGAAUGGGUGGUAGCUUCAUAGUUUUAAACGCAGAUUGUUUUUUCUUAAACGAGGACGUUUAGUAAUUUAAAAGAGAAGGCGGUGAUGGGAGAUCAUAACAGAAAAUUAAGAUUUUAGGUCAGAGUUUAAGAGAUAUAAUUAGUAGAUGUUGUGAGAACUUCUUUGGGCCGAACUUGGAAUGUAUGAGAAGCUGUGUUUGGGCCGUCUUAGAGUAGACCUAGGGCAGUUACAUAGAGGGGUUGGAGGAUGAUAUAGGAUGAUCGAAAAACUAUUUUAAAAAGCGAAAUGAUAUUUCAACACCGGAAUUUGACACCAUUUUGACACUAGCCAGGUGUCAAAAUGUGAUUGGGUCUGUUUAAAUUAAAAAAUAAUAUGAUUUGAAAUCUGAUGGAAGGNCAAAGUUGGAAGUGAAAGUNUUUUAUUUUCAGUUUCGCGGUUUCCUUUCAAUUUCUCCAGCCUUGCCCUCUGGUUUUGAUGAAACAGGUCCUCUCUCUCGCGCUCUCCUCUCCCUCUCCUCUCNCCCAAAUCGACCAUUGCUCUGUCGCCCAAAUCGACCAUUUCUCGUUUCGCUGACGUCUUGGUGUGGGUCUCGUGUGGGUGUCGUCUCGCGAAGACCUUUGGCUUGGGUUCAUUAGUGGUGAUGUCUUUUGUUGUAGUGGUGAUUUUUUUGGUGGUGUGUAGCGCCAACGUUUAUUUUGGUAAGUGGUUUGUCGCUUUCAUGUUCUUUUGUGCUUCGUGCUCCAUUAACUUCUUUUUCAUUCGCAAACUCUAACGAUGUUGUCGUCAAUGUUGUUUUCACGCAGGUUGAAUGGCAUCCCCAAAAGUAAGUGUGACAUUCAAUGUAAAUUUUGUGUUUUUUUGGCAUGGGUUAUGUAUUGGUUUAAUGUAUUUGUGAUUUUUUUGAAAUUAUUUGUAGUGGCGCCUUUGUGUAU
rnacentral:lncRNA from 1 species